ACGGGAGGCAGCAGUGGGGAAUAUUGCACAAUGGGCGCAAGCCUGAUGCAGCGAUGCCGCGUGAGGGAAGAAGGUUUUCGGAUUGUAAACCUCUGUCAUCGGGGACGAUAAUGACUGUACCCGAGAAGGAAGCUCCGGCUAACUACGUGCCAGCAGCCGCGGUAAUACGUAGGGAGCGAGCGUUAUCCGGAAUUACUGGGUGUAAAGGGAGUGUAGGCGGGACUGUAAGUCAGAUGUGAAAGCACGAGGCUCAACUUCGUGUCUGCAUUUGAAACUGCUGUUCUUGAGUGCUGGAGAGGCUAACGGAACUCCUAGUGUAGCGGUGAAAUGCGUAGAUAUUAGGAAGAACACCAGUGGCGAAGGCGGUUAGCUGGACAGUAACUGACGCUGAGGCGCGAAAGCGUGGGUAGCAAACAGGAUUAGAUACCCUGGUA
rnacentral:rRNA from 1 species